rnacentral:rRNA from 1 species
CCUACGGGAGGCAGCAGUGAGGAAUAUUGGUCAAUGGGCGAGAGCCUGAACCAGCCAAGCCGCGUGAAGGAUGAAGGAUCUAUGUUUUGUAAACUUCUUUUAUCUGGGAAUAAAGUCAGGAACGUGUUCCUUUUUGUAUGUACCAUAUGAAUAAGCAUCGGCUAACUCCGUGCCAGCAGCCGCGGUAAUACGGAGGAUGCGAGCGUUAUCCGGAUUUAUUGGGUUUAAAGGGUGCGUAGGUGGUUAAUUAAGUCAGCGGUGAAAGGUUGUGGCUCAACCAUAAAAUUGCCGUUGAAACUGGCUGACUCGAGUAGAUGUGAGGUAGGCGGAAUGCGUGGUGUAGCGGUGAAAUGCAUAGAUAUCACGCAGAACUCCGAUUGCGAAGGCAGCUUACUAGACUAUAACUGACGCUGAGGCACGAAAGCGUGGGGAUCGAACAGGAUUAGAUACCCUUGUAGUC